UGUUCCACAGUGGCAACUCAUUUCAUUCUGCUGCAGUCUCUGAUCUUGAUUUUAACAUUCCGUUUUUCAGCUGUUGAAGAAGUCACAGAUCUCACAGAUAGAUCUUCUGAGCCUGAGGUCAGUGACCUAACUGAUGAUAAUUCAGUUGUGCAGUGGCAGCAGAGCCAGCAAUACCCACGUUUUUUCAGAGCAGCAGAUAAUUCAGCAGUGCUACUGAUGAGUGACAAUGAAGAGGAACAAGGAGAUUACGAUGACAUAUGGCCAGCAGGCCCUGCAAGUUCUCUGUUUUGGGUGGAUGAGGACUUAGAGGAGCAGAGCCAGCAAUACCCACGUUUUCUCAGAGCAGCAGAUAAUUCAGCAGUGCUACUGAUGAGUGAUGACGAAGAGGAACUAAGAGACAAUAAUGGGUAUGUGACAGAUAAAGUGACUGUCUAA
rnacentral:lncRNA from 1 species